UACGUAGGGUGCGAGCGUUGUCCGGAAUUAUUGGGCGUAAAGGGCUCGUAGGCGGUUUGUCGCGUCGGGAGUGAAAACCUUGGGCUUAACUCAGGGCUUGCUUUCGAUACGGGCAGACUAGAGGUAUGCAGGGGAGAACGGAAUUCCUGGUGUAGCGGUGAAAUGCGCAGAUAUCAGGAGGAACACCGAUGGCGAAGGCAGGUCUCUGGGCCGAUACUGACGCUGAGGCACGAAAGCGUGGGGAGCAAACAGG
rnacentral:rRNA from 1 species